rnacentral:rRNA from 1 species
GCUGGUGGUUUUAGCGAAGUGGAAAUACCCAGACCCAUUCCGAACCUGGAAGUCAAGCACUUCUGCGCUGAUAAUACUGCAGGGUCCCCUUGUGGAAACGUAAGUCGCUGCCAGCU